AUGAUGAAACUAGGGUUACCCACUAUUGCUGCAAUCAAUGGCCAUGGAUCGGCAGCUUCUGAUGCUUUGCGGCGUGGUUUGGUUGAUGACUCUCAUUUCGUUGUUCUUUCAAGCAGCAUAAGCCAAUUGGUUAUUGGAUUUGAUUGUGAAGGUGUUGAUCUUUGUAUGAUGCAGCUAGCAUUUCAGCAUGCUGUUUAUCUCGUAGAUGCUAUUCGCGGUGGGCAGAUGCUUUUGCAAGGCUGCACUAGAGUCACAAAAGUUGUUCACGAUUGGAAAAGAGAUAAUAAAGCGAGGCUCUUUAUUUUCAAUUUGGAAUGUUGUUGGCACUCAGAUUGCCUAUACCUUGAUAGAGGAGCAAGAGAUGACUACAUAUCUUUUGUUAGCCUCCUUGCUGAUCCACGUUACUGUGGCAUAUCGUAUGUUGAGAAGGAAGAAGUUAUAUCGGAAUUGACGAUUCGCACUGCACCAGAUGAUGUUCUAUUUCUGCUUUGCAUCUAUCCUAACAUGAUGGAAAAAUUAAAUGAAUAUUCACUAUGGCGCCUUGCUGCAUUAUAUUGUCGAUUUUUCUGCAUCAAUGGUAAUGGGGUGCAUCAGAGAAGGGAAUGUUCCUGAAGAGGAAUUUUUAUCAGUUCUUAAUGUUCCUCCAGGCAAAAUGGGGUGCAUUAUUGGUAGAGGAGGAGCAUCUAUUAGAUCAGUUAAGGAAACUUGCAAUGCUGAAAUUCUGAUUGGAGGUUCCUUGCAAGAUGAAAGAGGGGCAUCAGAUAUCAGAGAGCUGAUUCUCACAAAGUGCCAAUAUUUGAGGGCCAUAAGAUCAACCUUUUCGAUUGGGCCGGGCUAUGCAUCGGGGUUUUGGCUGAAAUCUUCGAGAAGUGGGUUGCCUGACUGUACAGUUUCUUCUGAAGUAGUUGGUCCUAUAUUUGGUGCUGCAAAGAUAUAA